GAAAAGGAAGCACGACGGAGAUGAUGAUGUUAAUGAUGUGCACAAACACAAAAAGAGUAAGGUAAUAUAAUAAGAAAUGUAAUCUUGUGAUUAGUUUUUUUCUACAUCUUUUCCUUCUCGGCACAUUUCUGGUGUAUGAUUCUUAGUGACCGACAGUGUAUCCUAUCUUUAAUGAACUUUUGUGUUCUACUUUUUAAUAUUUUGCAGCAUAAGAGCUCAAGAAUUGAUGAGUUAGGGGCAAUAAAGGUCGCCGGCUGAAAUAGUUAUUUACUUUUAGUUCACUCUCUUUUCCUCAAUUGGUUGUUGUCAUUUGUGUGUGAAGGAGACUUUUGCCUGACAUUUUCAGAUUUCUUGAGGUACGGGGAACCUUCAAUUAUAGUUUAACAUGCUUUGAACAAAAAUGUUGUGAAUUGUCGGCGAUAGCGAUACUAUCGCACUGUCGCAUAGCGGGAUUUGAACAAUCGUGAUACUGACGUGUUGCAACAUCUUGAUUUUGCAGAGUAGCUAGGGGACCUGACUAAAAGAUUAUCAUGAUGGUGAAUUCACCGGAUGAUGGAAAAGGAAGCAGGUAAAAAUAUAUGAUGAAGAUAAAACUAUUCUUGUAUAAUAACAAUUACCUUGUAGAUUUGCUAGUAAACUUUGGUCUUCCUUUUCCCAGUUUUUGGAGCACUGGAUAUAUCUCGACAUUGUUUUGACUUUGAUUUUCUUCUUUUUUAUAUACAUAAAAUAUUCCGUAGUUUACAAUUUAUUUAUUAAGGUUUUUUUUGAACUAGAUCUAGAAGCCUCUAAGGGGGGGCUA
rnacentral:lncRNA from 1 species